AGCUAAUAGAUACCCGGGUAGUCCUAGCUGUAAACGGUGCACGUUUGGUGUGGGAGGCAACCCCUUCCGUGCCGAAAGCUAAACGCGAUAAAAACGUGCCGCCUGGGUAGUACGGUCGCAAGACUAAAACUCAAAGAAAUUGACGGGGACCCGCACAAGCGGUGGAGUAUGUGGCUUAAUUCGAUGCAACGCGAAGAACCUUACCAGGGCUUGACAUGUAUUGUAACCCCGGUGAAAGCCGGGCAGCAUGGAAACAUGCGCUUUACACAGGUGCUGCAUGGCUGUCGUCAGCUCGUGUCGUGAGAUGUUGGGUUAAGUCCCGCAACGAGCGCAACCCUUAUGAUUUGUUGCCACCGGUUCAUUCCGAGCACUCAAAUCAGACUGCCCAGAUUAACUGGGAGGAAGGUGGGGAUGACGUCAAGUCCGUAUGGCCCUUACGUCCUGGGCUGCACACGUACUACAAUGUCCAGUACAAAUUGAACCGAUACCGCAAGGUGGAGGAAAUCAACAAAACUGGGCUCAGUUCAGAUUGCAGGCUGC
rnacentral:rRNA from 1 species